rnacentral:rRNA from 1 species
GACGAACGCUGGCGGCGUGCUUAACACAUGCAAGUCGAACGGAAAGGCCUGCUUUCCCUUGUGGAUUGCGGGUACUCGAGUGGCGAACGGGUGAGUAACACGUGAGUGAUCUGCCCCCAACUUGGGUAUAAGCCUGGGAAACUGGGUCUAAUUCCCGAUAGGACUGCAGGGUGGUGCCUGUGGUGGAAAACGAUUUUCUAGUGGUUGGGGAUGAGCUCGCGGCCUAUCAGCUUGUUGGUGGGGUAAUGGCCUACCAAGGCGGCGACGGGUAGCCGGCCUGAGGGGGUGGACGGCCACAUUGGGACUGAGAUACGGCCCAGACUCCUACGGGAGGCAGCAGUGGGGAAUAUUGCACAAUGGGCGGAAGCCUGAUGCAGCGACGCCGCGUGGGGGAUGACGGCCUUCGGGUUGUAAACUCCUUUCGACCGCGAGGAAGCCACCUGGUUGGAAGGGUGGUGACGGUAGUGGUAGAAGAAGCACCAGCUAGCUACGUG